rnacentral:rRNA from 1 species
CUGCUGUCACGCUAUAGGACCCACUGGUGAACAGUCCAAGUGCUGACUAAAGCGAAAGGAAGCGCCGGCUAACUCUGUGCCAGCAGCCGCGGUAAUACAGAGGGCGCAAGCGUUAUUCGGAUUCACUGGGCAUAAAGAGCACGUAGGCGGCUACGUAAGUCGGAUGUGAAAUCCCGCGGCUCAACCGCGGAAUGGCAUCCGAUACUGCGUGGCUCGAGGUCGGAAGGGGUAAGCGGACUCCAGGUGGAACGGUGAAAUGUGUAGAUAUCUGGAGGAACACCGGUGGCGAAGGCGGCUUACUGGUCCGAAUCUGACGCUGAGGUGCGAAAGCUAGGGGAGCGAACGGGAUUAGAUACCCCGGUAGUCCUAGCCGUAAACGAUGGGCACUAGGCAAUGGAUCAUCCCUAUGGGGUUCAUUGCCGUAGCAAAUGUGUUAAGUGCCCCGCCUGGGGAGUACGCUCGCAAGGGUA